CCUUAGCAACUAAGCAAGUAACAUUUUUCAUCUUCCCUUAUCAAUAUUCAGUUAACAUUCAAUAGCUUCUUUGCUAUGCUCCAUGGUUUUAUCGCCUGCAAAAUGGAGGUCCGCAGGGAUCACAGAGAAGCAAAGAUAUCUGAGAAAAGCCUAAAGAAGCAUGUUUCCCAGGUGGAGAUUCUCAAUGCUACCUCUCCAUCUCUCUCCACUUUGACCUCAUUACCUCCUGUCUGGGAUGCUCUCUCCACCUCAUGCCUGGCCUUGCCCUUACUUAUAUCAGCCUCUGUGGAAAAGAAUAGAGAUGUCUUUUCCAGGAACACUCUGACCUUGAUAUGUUAUCAAAUAAUGUUGGUACUCUUAGAAGUGUGCAUACAUGGAACAAUGAGGGCCAUCUUCUACUUAAUGCAAAAGACAGCUCUAUCUGUUGUGUUUGUGAGUAUCAUCUUUAGAGUAGGG
rnacentral:lncRNA from 1 species